rnacentral:rRNA from 1 species
CCUUGACAUCCAGAGAACUUAGCAGAGAUGCUUUGGUGCCUUCGGGAACUCUGAGACAGGUGCUGCAUGGCUGUCGUCAGCUCGUGUUGUGAAAUGUUGGGUUAACGUCCGCAACGAGCGCAACCCUUAUCCUUUGUUGCCAGCGGUUCGGCCGGGAACUCAAAGGAGACUGCCGGUGAUAAACCGGAGGAAGGUGGGGAUGACGUCAAGUCAUCAUGGCCCUUACGGCCAGGGCUACACACGUGCUACAAUGGCGCAUACAAAGAGAAGCGACCUCGCGAGAGCAAGCGGACCUCAUAAAGUGCGUCGUAGUCCGGAUUGGAGUCCGCAACUCGACUCCAUGAAGUCGGAAUCGCUAGUAAUCGUAGAUCAGAAUGCUACGGUGAAUACGUUCCCGGGCCUUGUACACACCGCCCGUCACACCAUGGGAGUGGGUUGCAAAAGAAGUAGGUAGCUUAACCUUCGGGAGGGCGCUUACCACUUUGUGAUUCAUGACUGGGGUGAAGUCGUAACAAGGUAAGCGUAGCGAG